UACGGGGGGGGCAAGCGUUGUUCGGAAUUACUGGGCGUAAAGGGCUCGUAGGCGGCCAACUAAGUCAGACGUGAAAUCCCCAGGCUCAACCUGGGAACUGCGUCUGAUACUGGAUGGCUUGAAUCCGGGAGAGGGAUGCAGAAUUCCAGGUGUAGCGGUGAAAUGCGUAGAUAUCUGGAGGAACACCGAUGGCGAAGGCGGCUACCUGGGCGAAUACUGACACUGAGGCACGAAAGCGUGGGGAGCAAACAGG
rnacentral:rRNA from 1 species